GACGAACGCUGGCGGCGUGCUUAACACAUGCAAGUCGAACGGAAAGGCCCUGCUUUUGUGGGGUGCUCGAGUGGCGAACGGGUGAGUAACACGUGAGUAACCUGCCCUUUACUUUGGGAUAACUUCAGGAAACUGGGGCUAAUACCGGAUAGGAGCUCCUGCUGCAUGGUGGGGGUUGGAAAGUUUCGUCGGUUGGGGAUGGACUCGCGGCUUAUCAGCUUGUUGGUGGGGUAGUGGCUUACCAAGGCUUUGACGGGUAGCCGGCCUGAGAGGGUUACCGGCCACAUGGGGACUGAGAUACGGCCCAGACUCCUACGGGAGGCAGCAGUGGGGAAUAUUGCACAAUGGGCGGAAGCCUGAUGCAGCAACGCCGCGUGCGGGAUGACGGCCUUCGGGUUGUAAACCGCUUUCGCCUGUGACGAAGCGUGAGUGACGGUAAUGGGUAAAGAAGCACCGGCUAACUACGUG
rnacentral:rRNA from 1 species